rnacentral:rRNA from 1 species
UACGUGAGGUGGCAAGCGUUGUCCGGAUUUAUUGGGUUUAAAGGGUGCGUAGGUGGUCUAUUAAGUCAGUGCUGAAAUAUCCCGGCUUAACCGGGAGGGUGGCAUUGAUACUGAUGGACUUGAGUGGAGUUGAGGUAGGCGGAAUUGACGGUGUAGCGGUGAAAUGCUUAGAUAUCGUCAAGAACACCAAUAGCGAAGGCAGCUUACUAAGCUCUAACUGACACUGAUGCACGAAAGUGUGGGGAUCAAACAGG